rnacentral:tRNA from 1 species
UGCGGGCUAGUGUAAUCGGUUGCACCGUGGCUUCAUGCACCACUGGAGAGGUUCGAAUCCUUUGCCCGCAU